rnacentral:rRNA from 1 species
CACGUAGGGUGCGAGCGUUGUCCGGAAUUAUUGGGCGUAAAGAGCUCGUAGGCGGUGUGUCGCGUCGGCCGUGAAAACCUGCAGCUUAACUGUGGGCUUGCGGUCGAUACGGGCAUCACUGGAGUUCGGCAGGGGAGACUGGAAUUCCUGGUGUAGCGGUGAAAUGCGCAGAUAUCAGGAGGAACACCGGUGGGCGAAAGGCGGGGUCUCCUGGGCCGAUACUGACGCUGGAGGAGCGAAAGCGU